UACGUAGGGUGCGAGCGUUAAUCGGAAUUACUGGGCGUAAAGCGUGCGUAGGUGGUGAGUUAAGUCUGAUGUGAAAUCCCCGGGCUCAACCUGGGAAUGGCAUUGGAUACUGGCUCGCUAGAGUGCGGUAGAGGGUGGUGGAAUUCCCGGUGUAGCAGUGAAAUGCGUAGAGAUCGGGAGGAACAUCUGUGGCGAAGGCGGCCACCUGGACCAACACUGACACUGAGGCAUGAAAGCGUGGGGAGCAAACAGG
rnacentral:rRNA from 1 species